UACGAAGGGGGCUAGCGUUGUUCGGAAUUACUGGGCGUAAAGGGUGUGUAGGUGGUUUAGUACGUCAGAAGUGAAAUCCCCAGGCUCAACCUGGGAAUUGCUUUUGAGACUAUUAGACUUGAGUACAGGAGAGGUGAGUGGAAUUCCCAGUGUAGAGGUAAAAUUCGUAGAUAUUGGGAGGAACACCAGUGGCGAAGGCGGCUCACUGGCCUGUAACUGACACUGAGACACGAAAGCGUGGGGAGCAAACAGG
rnacentral:rRNA from 1 species